UACGUAGGGGGCUAGCGUUGUCCGGAUUUAUUGGGCGUAAAGAGCGUGUAGGCGGCCAGGUAGGUCCGGUGUGAAAACUCGAGGCUUAACCUCGAGAUGUCAUCGGAAACCAUCUGGCUAGAGUCCGGAAGAGGAAAGUGGAAUUCCUGGUGUAGCGGUGAAAUGCGCAGAUAUCAGGAAGAACACCAAUGGCGAAAGCAGCUUUCUGGGACGGUACUGACGCUGAGAAGCGAAAGCAUGGGGAGCGAACAGG
rnacentral:rRNA from 1 species